UCUCAUCCAAGGAUCUCACCUCUCCUGAUGUUGUAACCAAGUACAAAGGCGCUGCAGAGAUCGCUAACAAGGCUCUGCAAUUAGUUAUUUCAGAAUGUAAACCUAAGGUCAAGGUUAUCGACAUUUGGGAGAAAGGGGAUUCGUUCAUCAGAGACUUAUGGGGUGUGGUGUGUUUUAUAAAUAAGGAAAACUGGUAACAUGUACAAGAAUGUCAAGAAGAAGAUUGAGAGAGGAACUCUGUGUACAACACUGU